rnacentral:rRNA from 1 species
GGGGAAAAAUUAAAAAUUUAAUAUUAAUAAAAUAAAUUUUAAAAUAAUAUAUAUAUAUAAUGGGGGUUUAAGUAUAUUUAAUAAAAAAAAUUAUUUUAUUUAUAGUAAAUUAUGUAUUGUAAAAGAAUUGUGAAAUAAUUGAAAUAAUAAUUUAAGAAAAAGUAAUUUUAAUUUAAUGUAUCUUGUGUAUCAGAGUUUAUAAAUAAAAAAUUUUGGGGGAAAUUUUUUCGAAUUCAAAAGAGAUAAUUAAUUAAUAAAUUUACUGUAAAAUAAUUAUUUUAAAUAAUUAAUUUGAAAUGAAAUGUUAUUCGUUUUUGAAGAUAUCUAAUUUUUUUAGAAAAAAAUUUAAUUUUAAAAUUAUAGUUAAAUAUUAAUUAAUUUUUUAAUUUAAUAUUAUAAUAAUUUUUAUAAUUUAAGGGAUAAGCUUUAAAUUAAAUUUUUAUAAGAAAAUAAAAAUAAUUAUAAAAUUUUUAAUAUUUAUAUUGUUUAAAAAUUAUAAUUUAUUAUAAAUAAUUUUAAAUAAAAAGAAAAAUUUAAUAUAACUUUAAAUUUAUAUAAAAAAAAAUAAAUUUUAAUAAAAAAAAAUUUAGUUAAAAUGAUAAAAUUAGUAUAUAAAAAUAAUAGUAAAUAUUUAAAUUAUAUUUAAAUUAAUUAAAUUAAUUAAAAAGAAUUCAGCAAAAAUUUAUAUUCACCUGUUUAUCAAAAACAUGUCUUUUUGAAAAUAAUUUAAAGUCUAAUCUGCCCACUGAUAUAAAUUUAAAGGGCUGCAGUAUAUUGACUGUACAAAGGUAGCAUAAUCAUUAGUCUUUUAAUUGAUGACUUGUAUGAAUGAUUUAAUGAGAUAUGAACUGUUUCUUAAUUAUAAAUUGAAUUUAAUUUUUUAAUUAAAAAGUUAAAAUAAAUUUAAAAGACGAGAAGACCCUAUAGAGUUUAAUUAAUGAAUAAUUUAAAAUUAUUUAAAAAUUUUAAAUUGAAAUUUAUUUAUUAAUUUUGUUGGGGUGAUAAAAAAAUUAAAUUAACUUUUUUUUUUAAAAAUUAUAUAAACAUAAAUAAUUGAAUUUUUGAUCCAUAAUUUUUGAUUAAAAGAAAAAAUUACCUUAGGGAUAACAGCGUAAUUUUUUUUUUUAGUUCAAAUAAAAAAAAAAGUUUGCGACCUCGAUGUUGGAUUAAGAUAAAAUUUAAAUGCAAAAGUUUAAAAUUUUGAUCUGUUCGAUCAUUAAAAUCUUACAUGAUCUGAGUUCAAACCGGUGUAAGCCAGGUUGGUUUCUAUCUUUAAAUAAAUAAAAUAUUUUAGUACGAAAGGAUUAAAUAUUUGAAAUAAUUUUUAUUAGGUGAAUUUUAUUAAAAUAUUAUUAAAAAUAUAUAAAAAAAAAAAAU